CCUCUCCUUUUAUCCUUUUUUGUUAGCGGAUAAAAAUUCGUUAUCGUUAUCUUUCU
rnacentral:tRNA from 1 species